ACUCCUACGGGAGGCAGCAGUGGGAAUAUUGCACAAUGGGCGCAAGCCUGAUGCAGCCAUGCCGCGUGUGUGAAGAAGGCCUUCGGGUUGUAAAGCACUUUCAGUAAGGAGGAAAGGUUAGUCACUAAUAUUGGCUAGCUGUGACGUUUACUUACAGAAGAAGCACCGGCUAACUCCGUGCCAGCAGCCGCGGUAAUACGGAGGGUGCGAGCGUUAAUCGGAAUUACUGGGCGUAAAGCGUACGCAGGCGGUUUGUUAAGCGAGAUGUG
rnacentral:rRNA from 1 species